GAGGGUAUAGCUCAAGUGGUAGAGCACAUGCCUUGCAUGCACGUGGCCCGUGGUUCAGUCCCUGGUACUGCCA
rnacentral:tRNA from 1 species